UUACACUUAGUAGAACUAAUUUAAAGUGACUAUUGAAUGGAUAGUUUUUGUAUUUCUUUCCUUAUAAUGAACUCAUGAUACAUGCCUUCCACAAAAAAUAAAAAACCAUAUGAGCCAUGCUUUUUUUUUUUUUUUAAUAAAACACACACAUACCUAUGUUAGUCUCAUCAAUUUGUGAAGAUACAAGGGUAAGAGAUUGACUCUUUGUUUCUGUCUCUCUCGAUGAUUCAUGGCUGCAAGCAAGGGAAUUGAACCGAGAGUUCCCCAGGAGGCUGAGGCAGUUUUUUUCCCUGGGAGAAAGACGAUAAGGAAGAAGUGAAAUGGUUGGGAGCAGUACGAGCAGAACUGAUAGGGAAAAUAAACCUCUGGAACUUAGGGCAAAAUCUUGGAGACCUUAAACUGUAAAUAUGGCUUACCAGAAAGAGGAACAAAGGCAAACUCAGCAUCCCAGUGAUUUGGGUCAUAUUCAGUUUAAGGUCUCCAAGAGUUGCGUUUGUGUUCCAUAUGGUUCAUUUCUGCUGUCAGCUCUGCUUGCACUGCUCCUUUUACCAUUUCACUUCUUCCUUAUCCUUUUUCUUCCUACCAUUAAAUGGCUUUGUGUCAAUGUUUUCUCUUAAGGAUUUGCCAGAUGCAACUGCCUCAUCCCUUCUUUCUUCGAUUAAUGGUUCUAUCUUGGACCUCUCGGUUCACUUUCCUUUCAUGCAUACAUGAAAGAAUUUCUCUCAUCCCCUGCAAACAUGAAGAACGAAGAAGAUCAAUCAAAGCAUCAGAAAAUUAAUGGUUCUGUUUUUCUUUUAUUUUAUAAACUUUUGAUGUUUAUGCUUUCUUCUUAUUAUAAAAAUUAGGAAAAUGAACUCAUCACAGUUAGAAAA